GGGGGGGCAACUCCCUGAGUAAAGCGGCGCACGGGUGAGUAACACGUGGGUAAUCUGCCCUGGAGUGGGGAAUAACACCGGGAAACCGGUGCUAAUACCGCAUACGAUAGCGAGGUCUGCGGAUCUUGCGAUGAAAGGAGCAAUUCGCUCUAGGAGGAGCCCGCGGCUGAUUAGCUAGUUGGUGAGGUAAUGGCUCACCAAGGCUACGAUCAGUAUCCGGUCUGAGAGGACGGUCGGACACACUGGAACUGAGACACGGUCCAGACUCCUACGGGAGGCAGCAGUGGGGAAUUUUUGGCAAUGGGGGCAACCCUGACCAAGCAACGCCGCGUGGGUGAUGAAGUCUCUUGGGACGUAAAACCCUUUCGACGGGGAAGAAAACCGCAAGGUUUGACGGUACCCGUAGAAGAAGCCCCGGCUAACUCCGUGCCAGCAGCCGCGGUAAUACGGGGGGGGCAAGCGUUGUUCGGAAUUACUGGGCGUAAAGGGCGCGUAGGCGGUCCGCUAAGUUGGAUGUGAAAACUCUGGGCUUAACCCAGAGCCUGCAUUCAAAACUGACGGGCUAGAGUUCUGGAGGGGGUAGCGGAAUUCCUGGUGUAGCGGUGAAAUGCGUAGAUAUCAGGAGGAACACCGGUGGCGAAGGCGGCUACCUGGACAGAAACUGACGCUGAGGCGCGAAAGCUAGGGGAGCAAACAGGAUUAGAUACCCUGGUAGUCCUAGCCCUAAACGAUGGAUACUUGGUGUGACUGGGAUUGAAUCCAGUCGUGCCGAAGCUAACGCAUUAAGUAUCCCGCCUGGGGAGUACGGUCGCAAGGCUG
rnacentral:rRNA from 1 species